GGACGAACGCUGGCGGCGUGCUUAACACAUGCAAGUCGAACGGAGAGGCCCUGCUUGCAGGGUACUCGAGUGGCGAACGGGUGAGUAACACGUGGGUGAUCUGCCCUGCACUUCGGGAUAAGCCUGGGAAACUGGGUCUAAUACCGGAUAGGAGCCAUUUUUAGUGUGAUGGUUGGAAAGUUUUUUCGGUGUAGGAUGAGCUCGCGGCCUAUCAGCUUGUUGGUGGGGUAAUGGCCUACCAAGGCGGCGACGGGUAGCCGGCCUGAGAGGGUGGACGGCCACAUUGGGACUGAGAUACGGCCCAGACUCCUACGGGAGGCAGCAGUGGGGAAUAUUGCACAAUGGGCGCAAGCCUGAUGCAGCGACGCCGCGUGGGGGAUGACGGCCUUCGGGUUGUAAACUCCUUUCGCUAGGGACGAAGCUUUUUGUGACGGUACCUAGAUAAGAAGCACCGGCUAACUACGUG
rnacentral:rRNA from 1 species